CUGGCGGCAUGCUUUACACAUGCAAGUCGAACGGUAACAGGCCGCAAGGUGCUGACGAGUGGCGAACGGGUGAGUAAUGUAUCGGAACGUGCCCAGUCGUGGGGGAUAACGCAGCGAAAGCUGCGCUAAUACCGCAUACGAUCUAUGGAUGAAAGCGGGGGACCGUAAGGCCUCGCGCGAUUGGAGCGGCCGAUAUCAGAUUAGGUAGUUGGUGGGGUAAAGGCUCACCAAGCCAACGAUCUGUAGCUGGUCUGAGAGGACGACCAGCCACACUGGGACUGAGACACGGCCCAGACUCCUACGGGAGGCAGCAGUGGGGAAUUUUGGACAAUGGGCGCAAGCCUGAUCCAGCAAUGCCGCGUGCAGGAAGAAGGCCUUCGGGUUGUAAACUGCUUUUGUACGGAACGAAACGGUCCUGGUUAAUACCUGGGGCUAAUGACGGUACCGUAAGAAUAAGCACCGGCUAACUACGUGCCAGCAGCCGCGGUAAUACGUAGGGUGCAAGCGUUAAUCGGAAUUACUGGGCGUAAAGCGUGCGCAGGCGGUUUUGUAAGACAGGCGUGAAAUCCCCGGGCUUAACCUGGGAAUGGCGCUUGUGACUGCAAAGCUGGAGUGCGGCAGAGGGGGAUGGAAUUCCGCGUGUAACAGUGAAAUGCGUAGAUAUGCGGAGGAACACCGAUGGCGAAGGCAAUCCCCUGGGCCUGCACUGACGCUCAUGCCCGAAAGCGUGGGGAGCAAACAGGAUUAAGAUACCCUGGUAGUCCACGCCCUAAACGAUGUCAACUGGUUUGUUGGGUCUCUUCUGACUCA
rnacentral:rRNA from 1 species